rnacentral:lncRNA from 1 species
AUGGGAGUUGUUCUGUCCCCUCAGGAGUUGUUCUGUCCCCUCAGGAGUUGUUCUGUCCCUGCUGAGGUUGUUCUGUCCCUUCGGGGGUUGUUCUGUCCCUUCAGGGAUUGUUCCGUCCCCUCGGGGGUUGUUCUGUCCCUGCUGGGGUUGUUCUGUCCCCUCCGGGGCUGUUCUAUCCCCUCGGGAGUUGUUCCAUCCCUCGGGGGUUGUUCUGUCCCUGCUGGGUUGUUCUGUCCCUUCGGGGGUUGUUCUGUCCCUUCGGGGUUGUUCCGUCCCCUCACGGGGGUUGUUCUGUCCCUGCUGAGGUUGUUCUGUCCCCAUGGGAAUUGUUCUGUCCCUGCUGGGUUGUUCUGUCCCUUUGGGGUUGUUCUGUCCCCUCGGGAGUUGUUCCGUCCCUGUUGGGUUGUUCUGUCCCUUCGGGGGUUGUUCUGUCCCCUCGGGGGUUGUUCUGUCCCCAUGGGAAUUGUUCUGUCCCUUCAGGGUUGUUCUGUCCCCGCUGGGUUGUUCUGUCCCCAUGGGAAUUGUUCUGUCCCCUCAGGAGUUGUUCUGUCCCCUCAGGAGUUGUUCUGUCCCCUCGGGGGUUGUUCUGUCCCUUCAGGGGUUGUUCUGUCCCUUCGGGGGUUGUUCUGUCCCCACCGGGAUUGUUCCGUCCCCGCUGGGUUGUUCUGUCCCUUCGGGGGUUGUUCUGUCCCUUUGGGGUUGUUCUGUCCCCUCAGGAGUUGUUCUGUCCCUUCGGGGGUUGUUCUGUCCCUUCGGGGGUUGUUCUGUCCCCUCACGGGAGUUGUUCUGUCCCUUCAGGAGUUGUUCUGUCCCCUCAGGAGUUGUUCUGUCCUUUCAGGGGAUGUUCUGUCCCCAUGGGAAUUGUUCUGUCCCCAUGGAAGUUGUUCUGUCCCUGCUGGGGUUGUUCUGUCCCUUCAGGGGUUGUUCUGUCCCCUCCGGGGUUGUUCUGUCCCCUCACGGGGGUUGUUCUGUCCCCAUGGGGUUGUUCUGUCCCUGCUGGGGUUGUUCUGUUCCCUCGGGGGUUGUUCUGUCCUCACGGGCGUUGUUCCGUCCCCGCUGGGUUGUUCUGUCCCCGCCGGGGAUUGUUCUGUCCCCGCUGUGGUUGUUCUGUCCCCUCGGGAGUUGUUCUGUCCCCAUGGGAGUUGUUCUGUCCCUCGGGGGUUGUUCUGUCCCCUCAGGAGUUGUUCUGUCCCUGCUGGGGUUGUUCUGUCCCUGCUGGGGUUGUUCUGUCCCCUCCGGGGUUGUUCUGUCCCCUCGGGGGCUGUUCUGUCCCCAUGGGAAUUGUUCUGUCCCCUCAGGAGUUGUUCUGUUCCCUCGGGGGUUGUUCUGUCCCUGCUGGGUUGUUCUGUCCCCACUGGGGUUGUUCUGUCCCUCGGGAGUUGUUCUGUCCCCUCACGGGGGUUGUUCUGUCCCCUCAGGAGUUGUUCUGUCCCUGCUGGGGUUGUUCUGUCCCUCGGGGGUUGUUCUGUCCCCACGGGAAUUGUUCUGUCCCCUCAGUUGUUCUGUCCCCGCUCCUUCCUUCCCAAAUCGCUUCAGGGGGUGGCCACGGGGAUGUGCCUCCCACCCCAUCCUUUGGAGAAAAAAGGGAAAAAUGAGAAAAUGAGCGGAGCCCCCACCCCGAAAUCACCUUGGCUGUGCUGCGGGGCUGCCCCAGCACCGCCCUUUGCCUUCCCUUUGCUUUCCUUGCCUUUUGAGCUGCUGAUAAACAACGCCCGUCCCCAGACAGCGGCCAAGUGUUGGUUAAACCCCGCUGGAAAUCCCAGCUGCGCUCCCAGGGCUCCAAAACACCCAAAAACAGGGGAUGAGCCCAAGGAGCUGCAGCCCAGGAGGGUCCCCAACCCCAGUGCCCCUUGUCCCAACCAAGCCAGAAAAGCGGCCACAAUCAAAGCCAGCACAAUCAGCAGGUAA